rnacentral:rRNA from 1 species
GAUGAACGCUGGCGGCGUGCUUAACACAUGCAAGUCGAACGGAAAGGCCCAAGCUUGCUUGGGUCCUCGAGUGGCGAACGGGUGAGUAACACGUGGGUGAUCUGCCCUGCACUUCGGGAUAAGCCUGGGAAACUGGGUCUAAUACCGGAUAGGACGUUGGUUUGGAUGCCAUUGUGGAAAGUUUUUUCGGUGUGGGAUGAGCUCGCGGCCUAUCAGCUUGUUGGUGGGGUAAUGGCCUACCAAGGCGUCGACGGGUAGCCGGCCUGAGAGGGUGUACGGCCACAUUGGGACUGAGAUACGGCCCAGACUCCUACGGGAGGCAGCAGUGGGGAAUAUUGCACAAUGGGCGCAGGCCUGAUGCAGCGACGCCGCGUGGGGGAUGACGGCCUUCGGGUUGUAAACUCCUUUCGCUAGGGACGAAGCGUUUUUGUGACGGUACCUGGAGAAGAAGCACCGGCUAACUACGUG